AGGCGUGGUGCCAGAGUGGUUAAUGGGUAUGACUCGAAUGCUUCAAUGCGAUAUCAUAUGGUUUCGGCCGCGUAGGUUCAAAUCCUGCCCACGUCG
rnacentral:tRNA from 1 species